CCGCAGUGGGCGACGAAAUGGCCGUCCGCCUAGGGCGUCAGAAACCCUGGCGCCGCUCCUGACUAUAUGCCAAUACAGAAACCCAAGAGAUAGGUUUGGAAUUGAGCUGAGUUCUUCGGAACCAAGAGGUUAAGGUCUCAGAGGGAUCCCAACAAGCUGAAAGUCAAGGUUCUGCUAAGGUCAGGAAACUGACAAGUGGCUGGUCUACAGAACGGGACUGGAAAUCUCAAAAGAAGAGGCUUCCUUACAAGAUUCCAGUUCUGACCCAAGAGGACACAGACUUUCUCAGGACUCCAGACUGGCUGGUGGCUGCUUUUGUUCCAGUCUGGAAACAAGAAAGGAAAGAAAACUGUCACAAGGAGAAGCAAUCACUUCUUGCAAGAUACCCUCCAAAUUCUUAUUUCUGGGAGUGGUCAGCUGCAUCUAGAUCCAACCAGAAUGGAACCUUAAACCUGGAAGAGGAUUAUCUAACCCAAAGACAUGGGGCCAGAUCCUCAUUGGCUGUUGUUCCAUUUGUGGAGUGAAGAGAAGGGACAGGUGUCACAUUAUGGGAGCUGGGGAUUCCCCUUGUGUAACAAAAUCCUGAGGUGGCACAAAAAGCCAGCGUAGCCAGUUCUAUCCCACUUCUUUGAGAAUUUGAAAUUAGAAGGCAGCUUGGGUGAAAGUGAUCAUGAAAUGAUGAGUUCAUGAUUUUAAACUAAAGGAAUGGCAGGAGAUAAUGGAGUUCAAGAAGGCAGACUUUAGCAAACUCAGGGAGUUGGUAGGUAAAAUUCCAUGGGAAGCAAGUCUAAGAAGAAAACAGUUCAAGAGAGUUGGCAGUUUUUCAGAGACAUUAUUAAAGGCACAGGAACUAUCUCACUGCUUAGGAAAGACAAGAAACAUGGCAAGAGACCACACUGGCUUAACCAGGAGAUAUUCAAUGAUCUGAAACUCAAUAAAGAGUCCUACAAAAAGUGGAAACUAGAUCAAAUCACAAAGGAUGAAUAUAGACAAACAAUACACGUAUGUAGGGACAAAAUUAGAAAGGCCAAGGCACAAAACGAGAUUAAACUAGCUAGAGACAUAAGUAACUUUAGAAAGACUUUUGAUACUGACUCGCAUGAACUUCUCAUGAAAAACUAGGGAAAAACAAUCUAGAUGGAGCUACUAUAGGGUGGGUGCAUAAGUGAUUGGAAAACCAUUCCAAGAGAGUAGUUAUCAGUGGUUCACAGUCAAUGCAGAAGGGCAUAUCUAGUGGGAUCCAGCAGGGAUCAGUUCUGGGAACAGUUCUGUUCAAUAUCUUCAUCAAUGAUUUAGAUAAUGGCAUAGGGAGUACACCAGGAUUUCUCAAACAGGGGUCGCCACUUGUGUAGGGAAAGUCCUGGUGGGCCUGGCCGAUGUGUUUACCUGUCCCGUCUGUAGGUCCGGCCGAUUGCAGCUCCCACUGGCCACGAAUCGCUGCUCUGGGCCAAUAGGAGCUGCUAGAAGUGGCGGUCAGUAAGUCCCUUGGCCUGCGCCACUUCCAGCAGCUCACAUUGGCCUAGAGCAGCGAUCUGUGGCCAGUGGGAGCUGCGAUUGGCUGGACCUGUGGACGGGGCAGGUAAACAAACCAGCUCAGCCCACCGGGGACUUUCCCUGCACAAGCGGCGACCCUUAGUUUGAGAAACCUGGAGUACACGUAUAAACUUUGUGGAUGAUACCAAGCUGGGAGGGAUUGCUAGUGCUUUGGAGGAUAGGAUUAAAAUUCAAAAUGAUCUGGACAAACUGGAGAAAUGGUCUGAAGUAAAUAGGAUGAAAUUCCAUAAAGGACAACUACAAAGUACUCCACUUAGAGAGGAACAAUCAGAUGCAUACAAAAUGGGAAAUGACUGCCUUGGAAGGAGUACUGCAGAAAGGGAUCUGGGGUCAUAGUGGAUCACAAGCUAACUAUGAGUCCAAAGUGUAAUGCUGUUGCAAAAAAAGCAAACAUCGUUCUGGGAUGUAUUCGCAGGAAUGUUGUAAGCAAGACUCAACUCUCUGCUGAUUAGGCCUCAGCUGGAGUAUUGUGUCCAGUUCUGGGCACCACAUUUCAGGAAAUAUUUGGACAAACUGGAGAAAAUCCAGAGAAGAGGAACAAAAAUGGUUAAAGGUCUAGAAGACAUGACCUAUGAGGGAAGAUUGAAAGAAUUGGGUUUGUUUAGUCUGGAGAAGAUAAGACUGAGAUGGGACAUGAUAACAGUUUUUGAAUACAUAAAAGGUUGUUUCAAGGAGGAGAGAGGUAAACUGUUCUCUUUAACCUCUGAGAACAGGACAAGUAACAAUGGGCUUAAAUUGCAGCAAGGGCGGUUUAGAUUGCCAAUUAGGAAAAACUUCCUGUCAGGGUGGUUAAACACUGGAAUAAAUUGCCCAGGGAGGUUGUGGAACCUCUAUCAUUGGAGAUUUUUAAGAGCAGAUUAGACAGACACCUGUCAGGGAUUGUCUAGAUCAUUGGUCUGGAGCAGCGAAUCGCGGCCAGUGGGAGCCCCGAUUACCUGCCGCAUCCACAGGUUCGGCCAAACAAACCGACCCGGCCCACCACGGGCUUUCCCUGUAAAAGCAGCGGACCAGCUUUGAGAACCCCUGGUCUAGAUAAUAGUUAGUCCUGCCAUGAAUGCGGGGGACUGGACUACAUGAUCUGUCAAGGUCCCUUUUAGUCCUAUGAUUCUGAUUCCUCCUGCCCCAUACGAAGCAUAGGGGGCCGGCCAGUGGUGGGAGGGGGUGUGGCUGAAGCCUGAAUUGCUCAGGCAAAUUUGGGCUGCCACUAGCUAGAGCAUCCUUCAGUUCCCCCACCUACUCUUUCCAUAUCUGCUGGGAGGGGCUCAGAUAUCAGAGGCUCUGGACCAUCAUGCCGAUAAGGGGGAAAGAAAGUGGAAAUGCUCACCGAAUAACCAUAAUUUAGGUAGUAUUAUUGGUUAAAAAGAGAAGGAUUACAUCAGUCUGGACAUCAGACACAAUUAACUCUGUGCAUCAGACCAAGAAGAAACAUAGUAAUUGACAGAGAGACCAUUGCGUUUUAAUUCCCUUCCCCUUUGAAAAAUGAGUGUUGAUGCUUAUGAAAGGUAGCACUGUUCUUCAUCACUGCAGCCCUCUGUUUCUCCCAGGAAAACACCACCACCGGCAGCAGCCCUGGAGCUGGUUAUUUCAUUUUUUUUUUCCAUUGAGGGCUCUCAGCUUGAUGCACAGACUUGCAGAACUAGACAGCUGGAAUGAUACCACUGGAAAUUAGGGGCUCCAGAUUUACACUAGGGUCAUUCAGGAGUUGUUUGCAUGCAGAGUUGUACCAGUUUAACUCAAGGUUUGAUUGUAAAGAAAUUGUUAAAUCAGUGUGAAAGGCUGUGUGGACACCUUAUUUCACUUGAAAUCAGGUUUAUUUUGGCUUAGUUGAAAUUGAUUAAGAACUAAACCAAAAUAAGCCACUCAAGCCAAAGGUCAAUUCUACGUUAGAAACUACUGCCAAUAGAGCAAUCUGAGGUAUGGGAGUGAUUUUUAUGCAACAUUUCAUACUGGCAAAA